rnacentral:rRNA from 1 species
GACGAACGCUGGCGGCGUGCUUAGCACAUGCAAGUCGAGCGGAAAGGCCCUUCGGGGUACUCGACCGGCGAACGGGUGGGUAAAACGUGAGUAACCGGCCCUAAACUUUGGGAUAACCCUGGGAAACGGGGGGUAAUACCGUAAACUCCUUCUAAAUCGCAUGUUUUGGUGGGGAAGGUUUUUCGUUCUGGGUUAGACUGGCGGCCUAUCAGCUUGUUGGUGGGGUAUUGGCCUACCAAGGCGAGGACGGGUAGCCGGCCUGAGAGGGCGACCGGCCACACUGGGACUGAGACACGGCCCAGACUCCUACGGGAGGCAGCAGUGGGGAAUAUUGCACAAUGGGCGGAAGCCUGAUGCAGCGACGCCGCGUGAGGGAUGACGGCCUUCGGGUUGUAAACCUCUUUCAGCAGGGACGAAGCGUAAGUGACGGUACCUGCAGAAGAAGCGCCGGCCAACUACGUG